UUAUUGUGCAACCACUGAUCAGUUGGGUUUACCGAGCUCCACGUGGCCGUGUACGAUUCUACCGAGCCUUAUGAUGGUCGGGUACGUUUUUACCGAGUCUUCUUUUAGGCCGAGUACGAUAUGAUGAUGAUAAUGCCCACAGAGGCGUAUGUUUUUAAAAGUUUAUGUAUAUAUAUGUAUUAUGCAUUUCAUGUCAGUAUCCCACAGAGGCACUCAGAUGUUACAGGUUGUAUCUCCUCUAUCUCUCUUUACAUUAAUGUUCUUGUUUAUGCUUUCCUGCCUUACAUACUCGGUACUUUAUUUGUACUGACGUCCCUUUUGCCUGUGGACGCUGUGUUUCAUGCCCGUAGGUCUCGAUUGAUAGGUUGACAAUCUUCCUAGUAAGCUAUCAGCUCAGCGGAGGUGUUGGUGCACUCCACUUGCUCCAGAGUUGUCUAUUUGGUCAGUAUGCUUUGGAUAUGUAUUGAUUGGUAUGACGGGCCCUGUCCCGACCUUUAUGAUUUUAUGUACUCUUAGAGGCUUGUAGACAGAUGUCAGGUUUAUGGAUACUUGUAUGGCCUUGUUGGCCUAUGUGUUGAGUUUACAAAUGGUCAUGUCGGCCUUAUAGGCCCGUAUGUCACAUGUGUAAGUUUUUGUAUCAUGUUGGGUCGUCAUAUGUUGAGUAUUCCCUUACGUUUUAUUCUUGUUAUCUCAUGACGGGCUUC
rnacentral:lncRNA from 1 species